AAGAAUUGGAAGAUGGUGAUGAUGAUGGUCCUCAUAUGUACACCAUUUAGCAAAUAGUAUACCUAUUAUUUUUUUGUUUGCUACACUUUACAUUCUGAGAAAACAAACAUUUUUUGUAGAAAUGGAAGUAUUUGUUUGCUCUUCAUUUCUGCACAUAAUUGUCACUCUCCAUUUUUUUUACCCUCUGAAAAAAGAUUUGGUUGCUCAAACUUGUGUAAAUCUGACAGCUUUCUUCUUCUUCUUUUUUCUUGUAAGAUAGAAACUAAACAAGUAUGCAAAAUCUAGAAUUUUCAAGGUGAUUCAUAUUUUUCUUAUUGUGAGUAGAGAAUUUUAAGAGUAUGUUUCUGCUUGAUAUUUUGUGCAAUAUCUGUCCAGAGAUUUGAAGUGAGGAAGAAACAGUGCAUUGUUUUUAUUUGAUGCAGACAAACAUUUUUUGGCAGGAGGAUCUGUUCAGUUGUGAAUCCUGAACAGUUUGCCACCAACCAAGUGUAGAAACCUCUUUAUCUAAUUUUAUGUUACAGGAUCAGCUACACUCAUUAGAUUCAAACAACUGAAGAUUGAAUUAACUAUAGUUACCCCUACCAACUCCAACAUUAUCUUAUGGAGCCAAGUUCCAGAAAGUUGAUGAUAAUUGGUAUGAUCUCACCAAUAACUAAAUUUUAUGCUUCAAUUGGACUGGAAUGGGGAUUACAUUAGGUUACUUAGAAUUGCAUGUAUUGAAGUCGCAGAGAAAGCCCACUUGCCUCCCCAAUCAAUGUCCAAGAACAUGUAUGUCUAAGAGCAUAUCACCUAUUGCAUCUGAGUGGAUAUGAACACCCAGAUGCAUGCAUGGUUUGGCAUCACAUUCUUCUAAACCAAAUCCACAGAGCAUUCAUUGAAUCAUCCUUUCACAGAGACACACAAUCAUGUACAGAAUAAGAAAUGAACAGUCUUUAUACAUUGUGCUCAGUUUAGAUAUCUAUAUAUAUGAAAAUUCCAUAGUAGAAAAAGGCUUGCUAUCAAACUCCUUCACAUUCUUGAAUCAGUAUGAAUGCUUAAAAAUCUCAAGGGUUGUGUCAGUCAGAAUAUAGAUUUCAUGAAGUUUGUUCCAUUUUAGCAAGGGGUCAGCAAUGAGUGUGUCCAAUCCAAGUAUCUUCUCAUUUAAUCUGCUUUGGUGUAAUCUCUCACUGGUAAGCUUCUGCUUGAAUUUUGUUUGAAACCAUAUUGAUAUGUUGUCUUCUUUUGUCAUCUUCCAUAUCAGAUACAAGGGAAAUCAUGGAACAUAUCUGUUUGGAAACACAAGG
rnacentral:lncRNA from 1 species